ACGGAAGGCAGCAGUGAGGAAUAUUGGUCAAUGGGGGAAACCCUGAUGCAGCAACGCCACGUGUGGGAAGAAGCAUUUCGGUGUGUAAACCACUGUCGUGAAGGAAUAAUGCUGGACCUCGGUCCAGUUGAAUGUACUUUGAAAGGAAGCACCGGCAAACUUCGUGCCAGCAGCCGCGGUAAUACGAGGGGUGCAAGCGUUGUUCGGAAUCACUGGGCGUAAAGGGAGCGCAGGCGGAGAUGCAAGCAGUCUGUACAAUACCGGGGCCCAACCCCGGACCUGCAGACUGGACUGUUUCUCUUGGAUAGCUCAGGGGCUGGCGGAAUUCCUGGUGUAGCGGUGGAAUGCGUAGAGAUCAGGAGGAACACCGAUGGCGAAGGCAGCUUGCUGGGGACUUAUCGACGCUCAUGCUCGAAAGUGCGGGUAGCAAACAGGAUUAGAUACCCUGGUA
rnacentral:rRNA from 1 species